GAAAUGCGAUAAGUAAUGUGAAUUGCAGAAUUCAGUGAAUCAUCGAAUCUUUGAACGCACCUUGCGCUCCUUGGUAUUCCUUGGAGCAUGCCUGUUUGAGUAUCAUGAAAUCUUCAAAGUAAAUCUUUUGUUAACUCAAUUGGUUUCUACUUUGGUAUUGGAGGUCUUUGCAGCUUCACACCUGCUCCUCUUUGUUCAUUAGCUGGAUCUCAGUGUUAUGCUUGGUGCCACUCGGCGUGAUAAGUUAUCUAUCGCUGAGGACACUGUAAAAGGUGGCCAAGGUAAAUUCAGAUGAACCGCUUCUAAUAGUCCAUUGACUUGGACAAUACUUUUAUGAUCUGAUCUCAAAUCAGGUAGGACUACCCGCUGAACUUAAGC
rnacentral:misc_RNA from 1 species